rnacentral:sRNA from 4 species
AUAUCUCUCUGUACGGGAAGGAUGAGAAGCUUCUACCAGGGUUCGAUUCGAGCGCAGCGAGAAAGCGUUGCCGCAGGCAACGACCCGAAGGGCGAAGCGCGCAGCGCUGAGUCAUCCUUCCCCCACCAUCA